UAGGGUUGAGUAAAAUUCGAGCUCGGCCAUCUUGGACCUGCCAAACUGAGCUUGUGAAGGUUUGGCCCAAGCUAAUGUUCAGGGUAGAAAAGAAAGAGUUGCAGAGGCUAAACUGGCCUGAGAUUGAGUUAUCCAUUGACCAAGAUGGUCAAGACCAUCUUCUGCAGAUUAUAAAAGAUCUUUUGGACAGAAAUAUGUUGAAACCACAGAAGAAAUCUGAGUUCUUCACUGCUGUCCCGAGUUUUUCUCUUGAUUCAAGUGCAACUCAGUGUGCAGAAGUGUUACUUAGUCAAGAUACCGGUCUGGUGUUUGACCCAAAAAAAUCUAUCCAUCCUAAGGGAUUUUACCCUCCCCAUAAUGCUGCAGAAUUACAAUUCUCUUGAAUUGCCAAGCUUCUUCACGAGAAAGGUGCCCAGCCUGAUACCAAAUGUGGUGAUGCUCUUUGACCUUUUUGUACGGUUAGCUGAGAACCUUUGGACUUCGCUCUGCAUUCCCUGAGAAUAAUGAUCUGGUGGACCAAUAAGCAAACACUUCCCAAUGUUGAUUUUGCAACUCUUCCGAGAAAAAACAUCGUAAAGACAGUGGGGAUACUUUUGAAGCAUCAAUCCCU
rnacentral:lncRNA from 1 species